rnacentral:rRNA from 1 species
UACGGAGGGUGCAAGCGUUAUCCGGAUUUACUGGGUUUAAAGGGUGCGUAGGUGGGUCUGUAAGUCAGUGGUGAAAUCUUUGGGCUUAACCCGAAAACUGCCAUUGAUACUAUUUGUCUUGAAUAUUGUGGAGGUCAGCGGAAUAUGUCAUGUAGCGGUGAAAUGCUUAGAUAUGACAUAGAACACCAAUUGCGAAGGCAGCUGGCUACGCAAAUAUUGACACUGAUGCACGAAAGCGUGGGGAUCAAACAGG